ACAAAAAAAACCCUUCACCAGUACACAGUUGAACCGAAUCCCACGGUGAGAAAUACAAACCUACACACGGUUCUUUCCUUUAAAUUUUUUCUUCUCUUUCCUUUGUAAUGCUCUUAGAACACAAACUGAGUUCCAAUACUUGUGACUAAGAAGGGGCCCGAUUCGGUGAUCCUUGGGCCCUGGGCGUGGGCCUCCUGCGGGACAAUGGCCACUGCCCAAUGCGUGAGCGCCAGUCCCCGUCCAGAAUCUCCCGCUGCUGCCCCUUGACCCACGCGGGGACCCUUGCGGAACCCAGAGUGGCUCUGGCGACCAGGCCAGGUCGUGUCCCCGCGACGCUCCCCGCAGGACAGCGUGUGACUGUGGGGAGGGGGCGGUUUCUGCCCUCCGGGGCCAGGGGAGGAGAGGUGGGCGGCCAGCCCUGCCAUCCCCGCGCUCCCUCCGCACUCCCAGGGCGGUGCGUUCCAUUCCAUCCUCCGCCCGAGCCUCCUUGGGCACGUGAAAUUCGCCCCAUUUUACAAAUGAAAGCCUCCACCCUCCCAGAAGACAGCAACUUGCCCUAAGUGACUGGCUGGAAAAGGAGAGCGGAGGGAUUUGAACCCAGGACUUGUGUUUCCUUUUACUCUACCUCGCAUGGCGCCUGGCUGCCAGGGUGCUGGGGAUCCCAUUGCCUGUGGUGACCUGUGUGGUUACUCCGCCCCGCUUGCGCCUCCAGGGGACCCGCUGGGUUUGGAGGCAUCCACUGGAGUGAUUCAGGCUUUCUAGGUCCUGACAAAUGCAGACGCCACAGAGACGGAGACAUCUCAAGCAACUAGUCAGGUGGGGUUGUGCCGUGAUUUGCUCCUGUUCCUAUAGGAGGUCCAGCACUCACUAGCUGAAGGGGGAAGGAAUGCACCAGGUAAAUGCCAUUUUCCGGGUUGCACAUUCAGGAACCAGAGAAGCUUGUUAUGACCGGGUGCUAAAACCUGAAGAAAUGUUCCUUGGCUGCUUCCUCACUGGACUCGUGCUGAAGUACCUGAUGGUCUACUAAGGCGGUGGGUAGGAGGUUGAGGGAUAGCCAAGUGGGGAUAACAAGAACACCUGUCACUUCUGGAAUACUUGGUAGGUGCUGGGUGCUCUGAGAAGCUCUUUAUAACAUUUCAUCCUCACAGACCCAGGGGGCAGGUGUUAUUAUUCUGCUCUAACCCACGAGACAUCCAAAGCUUUCAGAGGUAGUCUGUCCUUCCAAGAUCCUGCAGUGGCAGAGCCAGGUUCUGCCCAGGGCUUCAGACUCCAGAGCCUGUGAGGAGUGACUUCCUCAUAGAAGGGGUGGGGACCACUCACCGGAGAUACCCAAAUAAGUGCACCAGGAGAGACCAGGUUAUACCUCAGACUCUCAGGCAGAACUUGAACCAGGUUUACGAUAGGAAAAGGGUGGGAGGGGGGUGGAUGAGGGUUGAGAGGAGAGGGAGUGGGAGUGUGUGGGGAGAGUGGGAACAUCCCUGCUUCUUGUCCAAAUCCAAAGAGAGGAUCCAAGGUUCCAGUCAGGAAGGCUCUUUUUUUAAUCAAUUGUUUUUUGUUUUCAGAACUAAGGUGGAAAUGACCCAGUGAGGAAGGAAAAUGAGCACAGGCUGCCCUGGUCACACAAUUAAAACAUAUAUGCUGGCCAAAGGUCAUCUUCAUAGCGGGGUGAGGAGACGCUGAGAUGAACUACAGACGUGAGAUGAACUAUAUAGCUGGUAGCUGGUUCCCCGCUGGGAUGUGCAUUCAGAUCCCCAUCCUUGUCGGUUCCAAAGACUCUACCUGCACCCAGGAUCUGAAAGCUCUAAUGUGGGUCAUCCGACCAAGUGCAAAGAACCACAGCAUCCCUUUGUAAUGGUAAGCACAUCCUGUUUCUAUAAUUUUCGGGUUGACUUGCUGAUCUAAUCAUGCCAUUCCUUGGGCCAAAUCUAGCCCUGUAUUGUAAUAUUCCAGACAAAAGAACAGACUAUUUCCUGGUGGCCUGUGGCUUUUCUGGUAUGUGGAGGGUUUGCUGAAGUUGACCCUGAACAAAGGAGAAGGAAAGGGAAGUAACAGGGUGAAGAGGAGGGGCAAACUGCCCCUAUAGGUGAAGCUAGAAACGCAUAUAGAUGUUCAAGCCAGUGUAGAGGGUGAACGUUGACCUAGGACUUUGAAGAGAGAUAGAAAGGCAACCCCAGAGGAAUGGAGGCUUAUUUUGCAGAUGAAAGCUGAUUUGGGCCAUGUUCACAAAGUGCUCUGCAAUUCCUCACCAGUAUAAAGUCUCACGGGUAGACAUUCCACUAAUUCAGCUUGCUCAGCUAUCUGGAAUUUGUGUUCCUUUGGGAAAGGCCAGUGCUACAUUUUAUGUUUGUGCUCCCUUUAAAAUAAGGUUGGGCUAAACAAAAGGAAAGGACGGGCUGUGAUUAAAGCCACUGGGGAAGCCCCCUGCUCUUAAAGUGCUUCAUAAUCAGACUUGACCGUACUUAGCUCACUGAGUGCCCCAUUCUGGCAGGACCAUCUCUCUGGCUCAGCCUUCUCAUUGUUUCCUGCUUGCUUCCUCUCUCCACUCCCUAGAUCUGAAUCUAUGACAUUGACCUCGUUUCUCCUCUCUUCUUUCCUUUUUAUCCAAAUAACUCACACAUCAUUUAUGUACUAGAUAUUUGAUCACCUUCUGUGUCAGAUAUGUUCUAGAUGCUGGAUUUUAUAACCAGCGAUUGAGGACUCUCUGCUCUUACAGGGCCCAGUCUAAAGAGGAACACCGACGAUAACGUGUGAUGGGCAAGACCACUUCAAGCAUUCAAGUGGCUGAAUUGUGAGGCAGCUAAGACUCCAAGAGAGGGCAUACCUUACAUCUGGGCUCUCACAGAUGGCUGAUGACAGGAUUAGAACUAGAGAGGUCAUUUGAAGCCUGGCCUUCUGCCAGUACCUCCUUCCUGAGGCUGCCUAGAGGCCCACAGUCAGAGUCUUUUCUGGUUCUUUCUCAUCCAGUUGCACAUAGUUCAUACUUACUCUUCUCCCAGGAGUAAGCUACUCCCAUCUCAGAAAAGCUCACAUUUAUCACCUAAGCCAGAUAUCUGCCCUAACUCCAAGAACUGACGUGCUGAUAAAUUGAGCUGAUAGAUAUAAAAGGGCUUUGAGAACAGUAUGGCAAUUCAAUUCUAAGUACUGAAGCUACUAUCAAAGUAAUACAUUAGUUCAAUUAAUAAAUCAGUAAAGGGAUUAAUCACUAAUCAAUACUAGGUUCUGUGGGGGUGACGCUAUCUUCAUGUAUAUAGUAUUGCCCUUUCCCUAAAGGAAUCUAUGACGAGUUGAUGGUACAAAGUUAAAGAGAAAACUAAGUAGGCAUUUGCAGAGUGCUUACCAUGUGGUUUUCCUUACAGUAUCUCAAAUAAUCCUCACAAUAGUCUAUGAUAUAGGCAUUAUUUUCUUCAGUGUAUGGAUGGAACGCCCUCCCUCAAAUCCUGUCUGUUCAAGCACAAUACAGCAUAGGAGCUAAAAGCCCUGGAUCAGGACUCAAACUGCUUGAAUUCAUAUCCAGGCACUGCCAAUUACUGGGGACAUGACUCAAAAUCUUUAUGCUUCAGUUGUAAAAUCGAGAUGCUAAGAAUAGCACGUAUUUGAUGAUUUCUUGUAAGGAUAAUGUGACCAUACAUUUAAGUACUUGCCACAGUGCCUGGUCCAGAGAAAGCCUGAGAUAAAAGUUAGGUAUUAUUAUUAUUAUCCAGCUCCAACACGUUUUUAUCUGCAGACUUUCCAGAACCCCCAUUAGAAUUGGUCUCUCUUACCUCUAUAUCCUCAUAUCACUGUGGGCAUGCCUCUCAGCAUAUUUUUAUGUGUACCUGGUUAUUAGUGUCUGGCACAGAAAAACCAAUAAAAAUGUUGACGGUUG